AAAAACAGAACACAGGAAAACAACAACAAAAACAAUGUCCAGGGCCUAGGGAGAUGGCCUGUAGAUACAAUAUAAAAUUCUUGCUGUGAAAUUGUUAGAACCUGGGUUUAGUCAACAGAACCCACAUCCAAAAAAUAACAGGCAGGUGGAGUAGUGCAUUCUUAUAAUCUCAGUGCUGAGAAGGGAGAGACACAGGCAGAUUCCUGGGGCCCACUGGCCUGACAGCCUCAUCAAAAUAGCAAGCCUCGGGUCCCAAAUGAAAUACCUUCUUCAAAAACGGGUAAAGAACUCCUGAGGGAUGACAUGUGCAAGGUUGUUAUCUGGUCCGCACAUACACACAUGCACACAGAUGCACCUGCAUAUAUACACAGACAUGUGCACAAAAACAUACGCACAAGGCCCAGAGCAGUCGUCACUCCAGAUCACACGAGGUUGGCCCCGUCAGAGCUGGCACAAAGACCUCCCAACACCAGGAGACUGCAGCUCCAUUGCCACAUAUGGUAAUUCUUGUUCGAUGGAAAACAGAAAUAUUUAGGAGGUCCUCGGAGGCCCUUAUUUCUUGCAUGGAAAGUGAGGACUUGACAUUCUUUAGGAGUGCUGGUCAACUCCAGACAAGCCACAUUAAAUAAUGAAGUGGGAACAGGAACUGUGAAAAAUUUAAGAACUGGGGUGGGGGGAGCCAUGGUUUUUUUUUUUCUUCUUCUUCUAAGUGCUGUGGAUUUUCAAAGCUCUUAGAAUUAUUAUUUUCAUUUAAUAUCCUUGGCUCUUUCUUGGAGUUUUGGGUCCUAUUCAAAUGUUAGUUUUACUGGACUGUUUUAUCAGGGCCAAAUUAACACUCAAACUGAAAUUAAUGCGCACCUUUGUUCUGCAAAUUCAGACUCCCAGAUGUCAGGUAGGUGUUGAACACAUUAUAACACUCAAGGACUUUUCCCAACAGAAAAAUUCAUCAAUUUACCAAGAGGUGCAAACCUCAAACCCUGAUGUCUAAACCUUAUCAACACUGGCUGUGGGCACUGACCCCAUAGCCUUCUCCUCUUCCUCCCUCCUCCCUUCUCUGCCUUUCCCUCCUCCUCCCCUGCCUUUCCCAGGACCUUACCCCUGGUUUAUCCACCCUGCAGCUCCAUGGGGAUCAGAGGACUGAAGUCUUUGCGACAAAGCUCCCAUCCCCUCUUUAUGUUCAGCCCCGAGAUGGGAAGAAGAAAAUAAAUCUUGCUCCCUGUGGACUGUCAUGUCCCCAGCAUUCUGGAGUCCUCCCGUGGAAGUUCUGAGUGUCCCCCUGCCAAGGUGCAGCAUGCCUGAAGGCAGGUCCCACUUCUUGGCAGAAGCCCUCGCUUUCCACACACAAAUUAAUACUGUUGCAUCAAAUUCUGACAUCAUAAUGUCUUUUCCAUACACCUGCUCUGACCAUUUCAUGAAAUCACGGCAUCCCAAUCAACUGAGGAGGGAACCAGCAUCCUCUGCGGGAAGGCACAUACAGAUGGAUGUGGCCACUGUCCCCUUCACGGCAUUUCACCCCAGGCUCCGCCUCAGAAAGGCAAACCCAGGCUCCACCACCUUGCAGAUUUAAAGAUGCGUUUGAUUUUUACAGUCCCUCUGUUUUCUGACGCAUAGAGGAAAGUGAUAUUGCUACUCCAAGAAAUGGAUGCUUCUAUCCCAGCUUCUACAGACAUCCUGGAAGGCGAGACAGGAAGUGAACGCAGCUGACGUUUCCUUCCCUUUCUUGUGGAUUCAAAAGCUGAAAGCCCUGAGAUGGUGACCUUCUGAAGAUUAUUAAUGAGAACGCCACCCAGAGUUAGGAUUCUCUUAUAGUGAAAUCUAACAUCACAAGGUCA